rnacentral:antisense_RNA from 1 species
AAUGUGCUAGGUCCCGGGCUGGGAUCCAUGUCGUCCUUACAACAAUUCAGCAAGAAACAUAUUAUUCGAUCCAUUCACUGAAGAGGAAACUGAAAUCACUCAGAGAGGAGGAGUGAUUCAGCCCCAAAUUCCAAAGUGGUAGAAGUGGACUUGGGCUCAGCUUCCCUAGUGUCUUAGCUACUCCCCCAUCUAACUGUUCAUUCCUGGGACAGGUGAGGCUCAGCUAAUACCUCGAUCACCCACAGUGGAGGUGAGAGCCUGCCCGCUCUCUAACACUUCUGUGGCCCAGACUAUCCCCACAUCUUACCUUUUGCUCCAGCUCUUUCCUGGCUGUCAGUUCCGAGUCCAGCCUCUCCUCGCAUUGCUGCAGACGCUUUCUGAGGAACUCGUUCUCCAUCUGAGCACAGUCGAAGCGCAUUUGCCACUCGUCUGCUGUUUAACGGAGUCAGGGAGACCAGGAUAAAAGACCAAAUGAGUACCCCUGAUCUCCAUAAGUGUCCCUGACAUUUCAAGGGCACAAAUUCUCUGGACACACGGAGGGAAUAAUGCUGACAUUUUAUAGAAGCUGACCCACUGGAUAUCCUUCUCACCCAACUCCAUUAGGCUAGGGAGAGUAAGAGGCAUGGUGACAAGGUGGCAAAGAUGUCACCAUGCCAUCCAAUCACGAGGUCUCCAGGAAACUGU